ensembl:lincRNA
CACGUAGGGGGACUAGAGUGGAGAAACACUGAACACAGAAGAAAGAGUGAGGGGGUUUCUGCAUUUGUCCAAUGGAGAAGUAUCAAAGAGCUGAAGGCUGGUGGUAGAGAAUCCUCCCUUGAUGCAGAAAUAAUCAGAGCAGGGCAGCAGAGGACUGAGCCUUGUGCCCAAGAACACCAGUUGGUCAGCAGAACUCGGAGAGGUAGAUCAGCAUCCUGACUCUCCCACAUGGAUAAUAGAUGAAGAAAGUACUAGAAAGCAAGGAGCUGAAAAAGAGCGAUACCUUGAGAGAGCAGACACACAUUGCCAUAGGAGGAGACCUUGAGUUUACCCUGUCCAGGCCUCAACACAGGGGACGAGAAGAAGAAAAAGAACAGUGCUGGAAGUCCUGUGCAGAGUAUCUCACAUGUGCUCCCUGGGCUGGGAUUUGGCCUUUUCCGGUUUCUUCCCCAUUUUCUUCUUCUGGCUAAUGAAGCCUAGAGCAGCAGUUCUCUUCAUAUUCACCUUCAGUCCUCCUGGGAUUGGCCGCAGGUUAAUGGGCACAUAAGGAAGACUGUUAUCUGUUUCAGGACAAUUAAUAUCGUGUUCAUAACAGUCAUGCCCUUAAGAUCACUGGCUCUCAUUUUUCUAUUACCACUUUCGAAAAAAAGAGCUCUAUCGAAUGUACCUAAAGAUGGCUUCUAUCAUUAUCGAAACUUCUGGCACUACUUCCCAUCAAUACAAGUAGUUAUUAAAAGCUUCUGACAUCACUGUUUCAUGGAGAUUAUAUUGGAAAAUAAACUAGGUUUUACUCCUUUAUGGAGAGCUCUUCACACGAGGAUUAACUCAUCAGCCCUUUGGGACUAUAGUGGGGAAUGGGUAAAAUGAGUCCAAAUGAUAAGUAUGACCAUCACACACAGUAUCAAUAUGCUUUUCCUUUCACCUUUCUGGGUACAAGAACUCCACCCUCAUUUACCCAAAAUGUCCAUUAACCUCAGCAGACGUUUGGAUACUAUAAGGAGUAAAAAUAAGAUGCUUCCUGCCCUUUGAGAUAAAAAAAAAAAAAAAACCUGUUGCUAUGAGAGUAGAAUGUUCAGGUUCCAUAGAGCCUCUGUUCCCCUUUUAGGUUAUAAAAAGUUUACUCAGGAUAUUCACUAUGGUGUGGAGGGCAUGCUCUAUCUGGAUUAAAUGAGUGUAAAGAGAAGAUAAGACUUGGGGCAAAUGGAAGAAAGUCCACAGGCCUAGGAAAUCUGUGGGAAGGAGAAGAGGAGAGAAAAAUGGAUGUUUGUCAGAUAGGUAUUUUCUGAUUGUCUUCUCUGUGGUAAAAAGAUGAGAACAUUCCAGAGAGGUGAAGGAAACACUGAAAGCAAAGAAGAGCUCUUCUCUGUCCACGUUAAGACUCCUAGAAAGAUGUCAUCUCUGAAAGAUGUCACUCCGAGAAAGAUGUGAACACCUCCCAGUCACCAAGAUGGGCAGUGGCCACAGCAACUUGGCAAUUCUAAAUGGUCACGUGAAGGAAGUCCCCAAAGGUUAACUUCCUGGUAUCACCCUGGGUUUCAGAGCAACUGAGAAUCUGGCUUGGGAGCUUGUUGUACUGGUUUGACCACAUGACUUCUUACCAGGGGUUACUGAACAAACUGCAGGGCUCGAGGUCAGCUGAGUUAGACCCUCCGAGGUCUAUACAGAAGCAGAAGCUAGCAUGAGCCUCGUUUGUCAGAGAGCGUUUUCAGCCCUGGUCACACUGAAAAAGACCAGCUCAUGAAUCUUACUUCAGCUGCAAAUGACAAGAGGACAGUGUAUAGAGCUAGAAGACAGACAUUGUCCUUGAGGUCAAAAUGAUGUAACACUGAGCCUGAGGCCCUGGCCCAUCCCUACUUAAGGUUAUGUGCUUGGCACCUCUUUCUCCCUAUUUUCAGACACAAACUUAGGGAAAGAGCAUUUGUAUGACUAUUUUAUGACACUUAAUGGACUGUGUAAAUUUGACUAAUAUUGAUACCAGAUGGUUCAUUUAUUCUUAUGAUUGUUUGACUUUUUUUUUUUUUUAAGAUGGAGAACGGUGUAAGGGCCUUAAUGUUAAGUUGUAUGUUUCAUUCAUUUUUGUGUCUCUCCUAGUAACUGACCGAUGAUGUUACAUGUAAAGGAAGUUCAAAAAAAUGCCCUUUAAGCAAAUAAUUCAUGAAGAGUUAUUUUUACAUUUCAGUGGUUCACAAAAUUCUAGAGAGCAGCUCAUGGCAUCUUAAAGUUUAUCUCCUUAUUUCCAUGCUUCCCUAAUGCAGUGCUCUAGGAGUAAAUCACCUUGAGUCAGAAGAAGCCCCAUCUAUACGGCUUCUUCUAAACUUGAAGAAUUUUCCUGUUUCCCAGUCAUUUUUGAGUUGGAAGGAGAGAAUCACAUCUAGUUUGUGAAACCCUAGCUAGAAGGGAUUUUUAGUCAACACACGAAGGUUCACAGAGGUUGUUUCUUCCAAGAAUAAUCUCCCAGGGCCCCAUUCAACAAUAAAUAUUGCCCAACUUCCCCACGCAGAAGUCAGCGUAAGGCUGCAAACACUAAGGAAAUUGCCUCUGCAUCCAGCCAGCUGAUUUGGCAGACCAAGGGCCAAUGCACAAAGAAGGUCUGUCUCUGUUUGUUUUCCUCAUACUUUUCCUCCUUUCUGAGCAGUAAGCCAUGGAGAGCUAUGGCAACGCCUGGGAAGAAUGUGUUAGAGACUCCCUCUUCCCGCAGACCCCGCUAAUUACAAAGAACCAAAGUUUUUGCUCAAAUUGACUGGGUAGUUAUGAUUCUGACCACUGGACAUACUGCAAACAGGGACUUCUAUAAACCUCACCCUAAAAAAGUCUUGGGAGGAAGGCUUCAGUUUUCAGUCACUUUGUUUCCUUUUCAGGCUCUUUCUCCUAGGAAAAUGAAAAUAAAGACAAUACCAUUUUAUGACUCAUUGGCCUUGUUACCCAGUAGAACACACAGGGACAUUUUUCUAGUGUCGUAGAAAGAGCACCAAAAUAACAAGGAGUUUGUUAUCUUAAAAGGACAAAAGACAAGGAUUUAAGAGAUGUAGCUUAUUAAUUCUAGUAUGAAAAAAGCCACUGGAUCUCUCCAUGACAUGGGCCAAGUCCCUUUACUUGUAUGGGUCUGAAUUUCCAUUGUCAAAAAAAUGAGCCCUUAUACUUGUGUUUGAAAUUCAGUCAUACAGAAUACUUUUAAAAUUAUUAACUAGAGGGGCACCUGGGUGGCUCAGUCAGUUAAGUGUCUGCCUUUGACUAGGGUCAUGAUCUUAGGGUCCUGGGAUCUGACCCCUUGUCUUUCUCCCUGCUCAGUGGAGAAUAUGCUGCUUCC